rnacentral:rRNA from 1 species
UACGGGGGGGGCAAGCGUUGUUCGGAAUUACUGGGCGUAAAGGGCGCGUAGGCGGUUUGCUAAGUUGGACGUGAAAACUCUGGGCUUAACCCAGAGACUGCAUCCAAAACUGGCAAGCUAGAGUAUUGGAGGGGGAAGCGGAAUUCCUGGUGUAGCAGUGAAAUGCGUAGAUAUCUGGAGGAAUACCGGUGGCGAAGGCGGCAUCCUGGACCGACAUUGACGCUGAGGAGCGAAAGCUAGGGGAGCAAACGGG